rnacentral:misc_RNA from 1 species
GGAUGACAUCAACACAAUUGGAUGCAUUUCAUAGGGAGUUUCUUCUACCAUCUAAACUAUUGCUUUGCUUGUUAAAGCAUCAAGGAAUCUUCUACAUCACUAAUAAAGGUGCGAGGAGUACAGUAUUUCUAAAAGAAGCCUAUGAAGGGUCAACUUUGAUUGAUAAGUGUCCCUUGCUGUUGCACUCUGAUAGAUUCCUUUCACUAUGUGGUAG